UUGCAGUGUGUAACCAUAUUUCCUUUUCAAUAUCCAUUCAUCAGUUGAUGGAUAUUUAGGUUGUUAGAACUUCUGGCAUUCCCCUUGGCCUUGAUUCUUCCUGCGGAAUCGUGGCGAUUAGGCUGAGGCCUGGCUGUCUCUGCUAGGUCAUGCUACCACUGAUGAUUCAAGUUUGCUAUUCUGACUCUAUUGAACUAGCUGGUUUGUUGGUAUAUUCAUGAAGGAUUUGCAAGUGGAUUGAGCUGCCAUUGCUGAGCUGAACUGAACUGCUGAUCUCCUGACAAUGCAGAUGGGAUUUGCUCCAAAGAACCAUUUCUAAACAGGUGCACCCCCUCCCCACCUCCAUCCAACCCUCUGUAUCCUUUCUUUUCCUCGACCUCUGGUGGGUGGAGGUGGAGGACUACAAAGAAAGUUAAAGGGUUUAAGAACCAACAUUAAAAGUAGGCCCUGAAAAAAAUUAACAUUAUUCUAAGGGGUUUUAUUGAGAGUUUUUCCAUUCAUUCAUAUUUAUCAAAGAGAUUGAACUAUGAUUCUCUUUUGUGUAUAAGGAGGUCUUUCUCUGAUUUUGGUAUAAGGGUGAUACUGGCAUUGUAAAAAUGAUGAAAUGUCCUUUAAUUUCCUAUUUUGUGGAAUAAUUUGAGGCGUAUUUGUAUGAGUUCUUUUGAAGGUGUUAGAAAUCUGUGGCGAAUCCAUCCAUCUGGUACUAUGCUGUUUUGAAUUGGAGGAUUUUAAUUACUGGAUCUUUCUCGUUGGAUGUUAUAGUUCUAUUUAAAUUAUUUAUUUCAUCUUGAUAUAGAUUUAGCUUUUAUAGGUGAUAUGUAUCUAGAAAUUAAUUUAUGUCUUUCAGAUUUUCUAUUAUGUUAGAAUAUAGAUAUUUUU
rnacentral:lncRNA from 1 species